rnacentral:lncRNA from 10 species
GUGAGGAAGAGGCAGUGCCAGGGGAUGUACAAACAGGCUGUCCCGUCUUCUCCCCCAAGCCCUUCCUGUCUCAGCCGCCGGGAGUUUAGAAAACAGUGGGCCAAAUAAUCAUGGCAACAGGACUUUUAGAAGCACGUCCUCUGAAAGCCAUUUUCUGCCUGUGGUUGGAAAGGGACUGUGAGUCUUUCCUCAGGAAGUCAGUAGCCCUACCUGGUGAGGUGAUCAAGAGUUUGCUAGCACAAGAGAUGAAGCAACAAUGGCCAUGAGGGAUUCAAGGAUUAUGCGUCUCUGCACCCUACAAUACACCAACUGGCAGUUCCAUCAUUUGAAAGAAAAUCUUCAAGGUAAAGACAUUUACAAUGACACAAAAACCUUUCAAAGGCAUCAUGGUCCUAAAGGGCUUUCCCCAAGGGACAGCACAGUGUGUUCCAGGCCCUGACAAGAGGUUUAAGACCUGUGACACAGACUGAAGCUCUCCUGGCAUACUCUGAAGCUCUCCUGGCACCCUCCCCUUUAUGCUUCACAGGUGUUUCUCCUAAUAAAUUUCUUGUAUGUCUCAUCCCAUCUGGGAAUCUGCUUCUCAGAAGACUCAAACUAACAUAUCUGCCCACUAUGUAUCAGGCACUGUGCUAGGUGCUGGAGACCUAAAAAUGGAUAAAACAGACAAGAGCCCUUCAUUCAUGGUGCUUGCAUCAUAGUGGGGGUAAAUAUUCCAUAAGCAAGAGAAUAAAUAGAUAAGAUAAAUUUAAAAACUAGAGAAUGACUUGUUAUAAAUUGAUUGGUAAUCAGGGAAGGUCUUCUGAGGAGAUGACACUUAAGCUGACACCUGAAUGAGAAGAAGGGGCUGGUCAACUGAAGACCUAGAUGAGAGUAUUGUAGGCAGAGGGAAGAGCAAGGACCACAGGUUGAGAAAGAAACUAGUUUGACAUAUUUGAUGGGGGAAAAGCCAGUUUGAAGAAUAAUAAAAAAGGGAAUGAAUGGAAUAAACAAGGACAUUAAAGAACUAGAGAGGAGCCUGAUCAUCACAGUAAGGCAUUUAGAAUAGGUUAGGGAGAAGACCAUUCUCUAUCAGGGUAGAACUGAAAAGGCUACGUCUGCUGCUAAAUGCUGCUAUAAAAAGACAAGGGCUUUCAUAUACUACAGAUGCAAUCUUUUGGAUCCACUUAUAUUGAGCAGACUUCGUGGACCCUCCUAAGAAAGUAGGCACCACAAAAAUAUUACAUCUAUACAAAAUGCAGGGCUCCAAGCCAUAGAUGUAUAUAUCACAUUGUGUGUGUGUGUGUGUGUGUGUGUGUGUGUGUGUGUGUGUGUGUGUGUGUCUGUAAAGCCAGCCAGUUUGUAAGCUGAACAUGACUCCCACAUGCUUUCAGAGAGAAGAGAAAAGAGAGAGGACCGUGUACUGGAAUAAGCCCUAAGAACUUCUUGGAAGAAGGGGAAGUUAGCUGAUCAAAAUUAUGUUGCUUUCUAGAAAAGAAGUAAAAAGCCAGGCAGUUUCUUUUGCUAGAACUGUCUGGGUAGAUUUCCAUUCUAAGAAAAUUACAACAAUGUAUAGUUUUAAAUAGCUAGAAGGAGAAUACUGAAUGUUCCCAACACAAAGAAGUGAUAAAUAUUUGAAAUGACGGAUAUAUUCAUAGUCCUUAUCUGAUUGCUAUACACAAUAUGUAUUGAAACAUCAUUAUGUACCCCAUGAAUAUGUGCAAUUAUUAUAAUUCAAUUUAAAAAAUAAAAUUAAACAAAGAAAGCAAGGGGUCAACAGCAUCCAUUGUAAAUGUGCUACCUCUCCACCUGUCUCAUUUAUGAAGUUGGGGGAGCUCCUGAACAGAUAACGAAGUGCAAUGAAAUUUGGAGAAGAAAUCUAGUACCUAGGUCUAGAGAGCAAAUGUGCAACUUCUUUGGAGAAUAUGUUUCAAAUAAAGCUUCAAGAGCUGUUCCUAGUAGCAUAUGGCUGUUGCUCUUGGUGUGGAGGUUCAUGGAGUAAUGUUUCUUGAUCAGAGGAUCUUGCAGGUUAUUGUUCACUUCUACUGCUGCCUCUACCCAAUGUAUAGUUUGAGUCCUAAGAGGCUUGGCCUUUUUACUUUGCCUUCCACCCCAAUAGGGACAGCACAGUGAGAAACAGAUCUACAAUGGCUCCGCAGACCUUUCCUUUGGAGAGAUGCUGGGCAGCUGCACACACUAAGAAAGUUUCCUGAAAUAGAAUUGCAUUAUCUGAGGCCUGGAAAAUGUGUUGGAAAAGCUCACUUAGCUAUGGGAAAGCCGAUGAAAGACCUGUCUGGUUUCUGAGCAUUGUCUGGGGAGCUCAAAUUCUAUAAAUGGGCCCCCAAGGUAUCCAUCAUUUAGCCCUUGCCAAGGCUGGGUCAACAUGCUGGCAAAGAACUGUCUGAACAUUGAAAAAUCCUCCAACCUAUUAUCUCCUGAGAGAAAGCUAGUUAUUUGAAAUACAAGUUGGAUUUUAAAAUUUCUAUCAGCAUGUUUUUAAAUUAAUCUUUUGUUAAUGUAAACAUACAGAAAAUUACAUGCAUUAUAAGUGAACAGAUCAAUGAAUUUUCAAAAAGUGAAUAUAACUUUAUAGCCACAUCAGAUCAAGAAACAGACAUUACCAGCACCCCAGGAGUCUUUCUACUAUUUCCUUCCUGAAUCCAGAAUAGGGUAACUACUAUUCUGGAUUGUAAUACAGAUAAGUUAACUUUGCCUGUUUUGUAUUUUAUGCAAAUAAAGUCAUACCAUAUACAGUACUGAUCUCAAGGAAGAAGCUUUUAGCAUUUUAAUAUUAAAUACAAUAACAUGUAAUUUUUUGGUAGAUUUUUAAAAUCGAAUUUAGAAAGUUCCCUUCUAUUUCUAGUUUGUUACAAAUUUUCAUCAUGAAUAUAUGUUGAAUUUUGUCAAAUGCUUUAUUUUAUUGAGAUAAUCUGC